AAAUAAUCAAACGUAAAUAUCUAAAAUAGUUAAAAUAUACUCAAAACUCCAAAAAUACUUAAAUAACUAUUAAUUCUCUGUCCAAAUAUUUAAACCAAAUCAAUUUAUGUGUUAAGUUAGGUACUCUAACAUAUGUUAUUCAAAAUUAUAGUUUUUUUUUUAAAUUAAAGCAUAUAAAAAAUUUUAAAUUUUUUAAAAUAAUUUAAAUUGGUUAUCUAAAUCCGAACCCAAUCCUCAAAGAUCUGAACCGAACACGAAAUCCCAAAUAGACCCGAAAACGAACCGAACGCCCACCCCUAAUCAAUAUUGUAUAUCCUAUAUGUGUCAUCAUAGGUUACAAAUUUUUUUUGUUAUCAUAGUCCUUAACUCCAUCUGCAAAGCGGUACUCCUAUAAAAGGUAAAUCUUCUUUUCUCUCAAUCAUAAAAUUUCCAGAUAUCCCAAUGAUACGGGCGUAAAAACUCAUAAUGAUCACUGUUUUUCUCAAGAUUUAGUUUAUGGGCUUUUACGAUUUUGUUUAAAUUUGUUCUUGUUUUGAUUAUCAAGAUCUUAAUUCAAAAGCCUCCGUUUGUAGGAAACUUCUUUUCUAAAAGUUCCAUUUUAUGGGCGAUUAAUUUGAUUCCAGUUAUGUUUGUUGAUUUUGUUUCAGUUUAAUCAUGUAUUGAUUAUCAACAUUUUAUUCAUAUAUCUUACGGUUACGGGAGAUGAUCAAGAAUUUGAUUUUGUUUGUUGAUUUUGUUUCCACCUGUUCAUGUAUUUCAGGCUUACUCAUCUCAAGCUUUUAACAGAUAUCCAAAAAAAUCAGAGCAAAUCAUGCUCGCAUCGCAGACAUAAAUAUUAAAAAAAAAAGACUUUAGGUUACGAAUUUGUUUAUUAAUGCGAUAUGUAACUGAUGAUCAAAGAGAUGUAUAAAGAAGAUUUUGGUGAUGCAUCAGACCUUACAAAUUCCAGGAUAUCUUAAACACCUAAGAACUGCUCAUCCAGACGGAUUGAUAGCCCAAGCAAUCCAAUGUCACUGACGUUGGCGACGAAUUAUUACAGUUGUUGGCACUGUAACUUUAGUGGAGGAUCAGUCGAAACAGAACACAUUUCAGUUCUCAAUUCUUAUUCUAUAGUAGAGGAAGAAGUCUCAUGUAGAUAUUUAUUUGCCUAUGUCACCUACGGUCCUCUUCCUCUUAAGGCAGUCUCAAGAACGGAGAUUUCGAUUGCAUCGUCCUUUUGUACGUUAAGCAUAGCAUUCUUGAUCUUUUGAAGAGAGAAAUAGAGGUGUUUCAGAUGCAGUUGCACGGCUACUGAGAUAGAGAGGGCACAAAAGAACUAGAAGUUAGCUUUGAUGUGUUGGCUUCUCCGAAACUGGAAACAUCAAAAAAACUUGAACAUUGUCUAAAAUCUAAAUAUAAAAAGAGUGAACAGCCGAGUCAUCAUAUUUACUAAUAUAUGAGCAUGUAUGUAUAAAAAAUUAUGAGUAUACACAAGGAUUUGGUUAAUGUAUUUUUGUAUAUAAUAUUAUUUCCAGAAUAUAAUUCUUCUUUAAUCUUCUUCUCUACA